AUACUUGGCGUGAAUUACAGAAUCCCGUGAACCAUCGAGUCUUUGAACGCAAGUUGCGCCCGWAGCCAUUAGGCCGAGGRCACGCMUGCCUGGGUGUCAYUAA
rnacentral:rRNA from 1 species